GUGCCAGCAGCCGCGGUAAGACGAACCGUCCUAACGUUGUUCGGAAUCACUGGGCUUAAAGGGCGCGUAGGCGGCCCUGUAAGUCGGGGGUGAAAGCCCACGGCCCAACCGUGGAAGUGCCUCCGAUACUGCGGGGCUCGAGGGAGGUAGGGGCAGCGGGAACUUCCGGUGGAGCGGUGAAAUGCGUUGAUAUCGGAAGGAACGCCGGUGGCGAAAGCGCGCUGCUGGACCUCUGCUGACGCUGAGGCGCGAAAGCCAGGGGAGCAAACGGGAUUAGAUACCCCUGUAGUCC
rnacentral:rRNA from 1 species